GCACUGAACUUCAUAAGAGGUCUUUUCCUUUUGUAACUUUUUCUGCUUCCAUAUUAAGAAUGUGGUUGGUCCUUCUCUUACCUUGCUUCGUUUCCUUCUGGGGCUCUUUGGCAGCUUUUGACUCAGUCUCCUUUAAAACGAACAAGUGAAUAUUUUGUCUGGCGUCUGGGAGUUUCACUAUCGUGCUCCUUUAAUGCUUCUUCUUACAAAAAAUACCCGUAUUUUUCACGUUGAAUAUGAAAAAAAUCUCUCACGGCCAAUAAAGUCAGGUUUUUUAAAUAUCUAUGCCCGUUCCAAAUUAAAAAACAAAAACAAAAAACCACCAAAAAUAUCCUGCCACAAAAGAGGAGGAAGGGGGUUGGGAAAAUCAGACAAGAAACCAACAGUAGAAGAGCUAUAUGCUCCAGUUUUAUUUCCAGCCCAGAAGCAGAAGACCUCACCUAUCAACUUUAUGUAGAAGAUAGGGAGAGCAGCAAGCACUUUGGAGCAGCCACAGCCUCUAAUACCUCAUGGUAACAGACUGGAACCACUCAAUCAGGAGUGGAAUAGGGUGGGGAGAAGAUGAAGAAGAGGGUCCCCCCCCCCUUGGUAUAAGAAGAUGCUGCCAUGCCACAAAGAAAAUGAAAUGGACAUUUCUGCAGAAUAUAACAACUGACACUUAUUGAUCAUGUGAAAAAAAUAUUAUUAGAUACACGCACUGAUCAUCAAUAGCUGGAUCAGCUUCUCUUGGAAAUAUUUAUGUCUCUCCAAUAUCUCCUUUGGUGUUGUGAGUAAUAGCA